CAUUACCGAGAUUAGGGUCCCUUUAUGGGAUCCGAUCCUCCCACCCUUUGUGUAUAUUACCUCUGUUGCUUCGGUGGCCCCCGCGGUUUUACGGUGCUGCUAGUCACGCCGAGCCCGGUCCGCCAGAGGCCAAUUCAAUUCUGACUUUUAUCAGUGAUAGUCUGAGCAUACUUUGAAAAACAAAUCAAAACUUUCAACAACGGAUCUCUUGGUUCUGGCAUCGAUGAAGAACGCAGCGAAAUGCGAUAAGUAAUGUGAAUUGCAGAAUUCAGUGAAUCAUCGAAUCUUUGAACGCACAUUGCGCCCUCUGGUAUUCCGGGGGGCAUGCCUGUUCGAGCGUCAUUACACCUCUCAAGCUCAGCUUGGUAUUGGGCCUUCGUCCCUUGUGGACGGGUCUGAAAAUCAGUGGCAGUGCAGCCGGUACUCAAGCGUAGUAAUAUUACCUCCCGCUUUGGAGUCACCGGGUGGACCCGCCAGACAACCCUAUUAUAUUUUCAAUGGUUGACCUCGGAUCAGGUAGGGAUACCCGCUGAACUUAAGCAUAUCAA
rnacentral:rRNA from 1 species